rnacentral:rRNA from 1 species
UACGUAGGGUGCAAGCGUUAAUCGGAAUUACUGGGCGUAAAGCGUGCGCAGGCGGUUUUGUAAGUCUGACGUGAAAUCCCCGGGCUCAACCUGGGAAUUGCGUUGGAGACUGCAAGGCUGGAGUCUGGCAGAGGGGGGGUAGAAUUCCACGUGUAGCAGUGAAAUGCGUAGAGAUGUGGAGGAACACCGAUGGCGAAGGCAGCCCCCCUGGGUCAAGACUGACGCUCAUGCACGAAAGCGUGGGGAGCAAACGAGG